GUCCUGGAACAGGUUGUGUGAGCCCCUUGAGGCAUUCAUCCAACACCAUUUCCGAGAAAUCUCUGUUUCAAUCUGUUCCUGUAUGUUAGUUAUUGAAAAACAAGUUGACCUUUUUGUGUUCCUUGAGCCCAGUCAUGAAUGGCCCUUGUGACUGGGCCUCACACCAAACAACUCAUUACACAAAGAGGUAAGGUCCCAGACCACGCCAAAGCUUCCUGAGACCUCUCCUCAUCUGUGCAUGGACGGAUGACCAACUCUGGGGCCCAGGCUGUUGCUUCCCAGUAUAAUGAUGAAUCCGCCAUAGUCUGGUGAGUGUAGAGGCUGACUCUGGAGCCCAGGCUGUACCUUCUCGGUCUGGUGAUGAAUCCUCAAUCGUGUGAAAGAAACACAUAAUAGUGUCUUAUGAACAGAAGCCACAGUGCCUUAUGAACAGAAGCCAUAUCUGUGUUCAGACACUGGCCAGAAAAGACGGUGGG
rnacentral:lncRNA from 10 species